rnacentral:rRNA from 1 species
GCGCGAAAACUUCGCAAUGCGCGAAAGCGUGACGAGGCUACCCGGAGUGCUUCCUGAAGAAGGAAGCUGUUGUGAGUGUUUAAAAAGCCUCACGAGAAAGGAGAGGGCAAGGCUGGUGCCAGCCGCCGCGGUAAAACCAGCUCUUCAAGUUGUCGGGGCGAUUACUGGGCUUAAAGAGUCCGUAGCCGGUUUGGUAAGUCCUUGGUAAAAUCUGGCAGCUUAACUGUCAGUACGCUAGGGAAACUACCUUACUAGAGGGCGGGAAAGGUCUGGGGUACUUCAGGGGUAGGGGUGGAAUCCUAUAAUCCUUGGGGGACCACCAGUGGCGAAAGCGCCAGACUGGAACGCGCCUGACGGUGAGGGACGAAAGCCAGGGGAGCAAACCGG